CACGUAGGGUGCGAGCGUUGUCCGGAAUUAUUGGGCGUAAAGAGCUCGUAGGCGGUGUGUCACGUCGGCCGUGAAAACCUGCAGCUUAACUGUGGGCGUGCGGUCGAUACGGGCAUCACUGGAGUUCGGCAGGGGAGACUGGAAUUCCUGGUGUAGCGGUGAAAUGCGCAGAUAUCAGGAGGAACACCGGUGGCGAAGGCGGGUCUCUGGGCCGUAACUGACGCUGAGGAGCGAAAGCGUGGGGAGCGAACAGG
rnacentral:rRNA from 1 species